UACGAAGGGUGCAAACGUUGCUCGGAAUUAUUGGGCGUAAAGCGCACGUAGGCGGCUUAGCAAGUUGGAUGUGAAAUCCCUCGGCUCAACCAAGGAAGUGCAUCCAAAACUGCUGAGCUUGAGUACUUAAGAGGAUCGCGGAAUUCCCGGUGUAGAGGUGAAAUUCGUAGAUAUCGGGAGGAACACCAGUGGCGAAGGCGGCGAUCUGGGAAGAUACUGACGCUGAGGUGCGAAAAGCGUGGGGAGCGAACAGG
rnacentral:rRNA from 1 species